rnacentral:rRNA from 1 species
GACGAACGCUGGCGGCGCGCCUAACACAUGCAAGUCGAACGGAGUCAUGAGGAGCUUGCUUUUCUUGACUUAGUGGCGAACGGGUGAGUAACGCGUGAGUAACCUGCCCUGGAGUGGGGGACAACAUUGGGAAACGACUGCUAAUACCGCAUAAGCCCACGGAUCUGCAUGGAUCUGCGGGAAAAGGGUUUAUUCGAUCUAGGAUGGACUCGCGUCCAAUUAGCUAGUUGGUGGGUUAACGGCCCACCAAGGCGACGACUGGUAGACGGACUGAGAGGCUGAACGGACACAUCUGGACUGAGACACGGCACAGACUCUUACGGGAGGCAGGAGUGGGUGAUAUUGCACAACGGGGGGAAUCAUGAUGGAGCGCCGAUGCGUGGAGGAAGAAGGUUGUCGGAUUGUAAACUCCAGGCGUCAGGGCCGAUCAUGACGGUACCUAAUAAGAAAGCCCCGGCUAACUACGUG